GCGUACACGGUGGAUGCCCUGGCAGUCAGAGGCGAUGAAGGGCGUGCUAAUCUGCGAUAAGCGCCGGUAAGGUGAUAUGAACCGUUAUAACCGGCGAUACCCGAAUGGGGAAACCCAGUGUGAUUCGUCACACUAUCAUUAACUGAAUCCAUAGGUUAAUGAGGCGAACCGGGGGAACUGAAACAUCUAAGUACCCCGAGGAAAAGAAAUCAACCGAGAUUCCCCCAGUAGCGGCGAGCGAACGGGGAGGAGCCCAGAGCCUGAAUCAGCAUGUGUGUUAGUGGAAGCGUCUGGAAAGGCGCGCGAUACAGGGUGACAGCCCCGUACACAAAAGCGCAUGUGCUGUGAGCUCGAUGAGUAGGGCGGGACACGUGGUAUCCUGUCUGAAUAUGGGGGGACCAUCCUCCAAGGCUAAAUACUCCUGACUGACCGAUAGUGAACCAGUACCGUGAGGGAAAGGCGAAAAGAACCCCGGCGAGGGGAGUGAAAAAGAACCUGAAACCGUGUACGUACAAGCAGUGGGAGNNGGGCGUUAAGUUGCAGGGUAUAGACCCGAAACCCGGUGAUCUAGCCAUGGGCAGGUUGAAGGUUGGGUAACACUAACUGGAGGACCGAACCGACUAAUGUUGAAAAAUUAGCGGAUGACCUGUGGCUGGGGGUGAAAGGCCAAUCAAACCGGGAGAUAGCUGGUUCUCCCCGAAAGCUAUUUAGGUAGCGCCUCGUGAAUUCAUCUCCGGGGGUAGAGCACUGUUUCGGCUAGGGGGCCAUCCCGGCUUACCAACCCGAUGCAAACUGCGAAUACCGGAGAAUGUUAUCACGGGAGACACACGGCGGGUGCUAACGUCCGUCGUGAAGAGGGAAACAACCCAGACCGCCAGCUAAGGUCCCAAAGUCAUGGUUAAGUGGGAAACGAUGUGGGAAGGCCCAGACAGCCAGGAUGUUGGCUUAGAAGCAGCCAUCAUUUAAAGAAAGCGUAAUAGCUCACUGGUCGAGUCGGCCUGCGCGGAAGAUGUAACGGGGCUAAACCAUGCACCGAAGCUGCGGCAGCGANNUGCUGGAGGUAUCAGAAGUGCGAAUGCUGACAUAAGUAACGAUAAAGCGGGUGAAAAGCCCGCUCGCCGGAAGACCAAGGGUUCCUGUCCAACGUUAAUCGGGGCAGGGUGAGUCGACCCCUAAGGCGAGGCCGAAAGGCGUAGUCGAUGGGAAACGGGUUAAUAUUCCCGUACUUGGUGUUACUGCGAAGGGGGGACGGAGAAGGCUAUGUUGGCCGGGCGACGGUUGUCCCGGUUUAAGCGUGUAGGUGUGUGUUCCAGGUAAAUCCGGUUCACUUUAACACUGAGGCGUGACGACGAGGCACUACGGUGCUGAAGCAACAAAUGCCCUGCUUCCAGGAAAAGCCUCUAAGCAUCAGGUAACACGAAAUCGUACCCCAAACCGACACAGGUGGUCAGGUAGAGAAUACCAAGGCGCUUGAGAGAACUCGGGUGAAGGAACUAGGCAAAAUGGUGCCGUAACUUCGGGAGAAGGCACGCUGACACGUAGGUGAAGUGAUUUACUCAUGGAGCUGAAGUCAGUCGAAGAUACCAGCUGGCUGCAACUGUUUAUUAAAAACACAGCACUGUGCAAACACGAAAGUGGACGUAUACGGUGUGACGCCUGCCCGGUGCCGGAAGGUUAAUUGAUGGGGUCAGCGCAAGCGAAGCUCCUGAUCGAAGCCCCGGUAAACGGCGGCCGUAACUAUAACGGUCCUAAGGUAGCGAAAUUCCUUGUCGGGUAAGUUCCGACCUGCACGAAUGGCGUAAUGAUGGCCAGGCUGUCUCCACCCGAGACUCAGUGAAAUUGAACUCGCUGUGAAGAUGCAGUGUACCCGCGGCAAGACGGAAAGACCCCGUGAACCUUUACUAUAGCUUGACACUGAACAUUGAGCCUUGAUGUGUAGGAUAGGUGGGAGGCUUUGAAGUGUGGACGCCAGUCUGCAUGGAGCCGACCUUGAAAUACCACCCUUUAAUGUUUGAUGUUCUAACGUGGACCCGUAAUCCGGGUUGCGGACAGUGUCUGGUGGGUAGUUUGACUGGGGCGGUCUCCUCCUAAAGAGUAACGGAGGAGCACGAAGGUUGGCUAAUCCUGGUCGGACAUCAGGAGGUUAGUGCAAUGGCAUAAGCCAGCUUGACUGCGAGCGUGACGGCGCGAGCAGGUGCGAAAGCAGGUCAUAGUGAUCCGGUGGUUCUGAAUGGAAGGGCCAUCGCUCAACGGAUAAAAGGUACUCCGGGGAUAACAGGCUGAUACCGCCCAAGAGUUCAUAUCGACGGCGGUGUUUGGCACCUCGAUGUCGGCUCAUCACAUCCUGGGGCUGAAGUAGGUCCCAAGGGUAUGGCUGUUCGCCAUUUAAAGUGGUACGCGAGCUGGGUUUAGAACGUCGUGAGACAGUUCGGUCCCUAUCUGCCGUGGGCGCUGGAGAACUGAGGGGGGCUGCUCCUAGUACGAGAGGACCGGAGUGGACGCAUCACUGGUGUUCGGGUUGUCAUGCCAAUGGCACUGCCCGGUAGCUAAAUGCGGAAGAGAUAAGUGCUGAAAGCAUCUAAGCACGAAACUUGCCCCGAGAUGAGUUCUCCCUGAGACUUAGAGUCUCCUGAAGGAACGUUGAAGACGACGACGUUGAUAGGCCGGGUGUGUAAGCGCAGCGAUGCGUUGAGCUAACCGGUACUAAUGAACCGUGA
rnacentral:rRNA from 1 species